UACGAAGGGGGCUAGCGUUGCUCGGAAUUAUUGGGCGUAAAGGGCGCGUAGGCGGAUAGUUUAGUCAGAGGUGAAAGCCCAGGGCUCAACCUUGGAACUGCCUUUGAUACUGGCUAUCUUGAGUUCGGGAGAGGUGAGUGGAAUGCCGAGUGUAGAGGUGAAAUUCGUAGAUAUUCGGCGGAACACCAGUGGCGAAGGCGACUCACUGGCCCGAUACUGACGCUGAGGCGCGAAAGCGUGGGGAGCAAACAGG
rnacentral:rRNA from 1 species